AGUGAACGCUGGCGGUAGGCCUAACACAUGCAAGUCGAACGGCAGCACAGUAAGAGCUUGCUCUUACGGGUGGCGAGUGGCGGACGGGUGAGGAAUACAUCGGAAUCUACUUUUUCGUGGGGGAUAACGUAGGGAAACUUACGCUAAUACCGCAUACGACCUACGGGUGAAAGCAGGGGAUCUUCGGACCUUGCGCGAUUGAAUGAGCCGAUGUCGGAUUAGCUAGUUGGCGGGGUAAAGGCCCACCAAGGCGACGAUCCGUAGCUGGUCUGAGAGGAUGAUCAGCCACAGUGGAACGGAGACGCGCCCCAGCCGCCGGCGGGAGCCGGCAGGGGGGAUUGUUGGACAGGGGCCGCAGGCUUGACCCACCCUUACCGGGGGGGUGAGAGGGCCCUCGGGUUUUAAAGCCCUUUUUGUGGGGAAAAAAAAGCAGCAGGUUAAUCCCCCGCUGUCCUGCGGUUCCCAAAAAAAAAAGCCCCGCCUACCUUCGGG
rnacentral:rRNA from 1 species